rnacentral:rRNA from 1 species
AGUGAACGCUGGCGGUAGGCCUAACACAUGCAAGUCGAACGGCAGCACAGUAAGAGCUUGCUCUUACGGGUGGCGAGUGGCGGGCGGGUUAGGAAUACAUCGGAAUCUACUUUUUCGUGGGGGAUAACGUAGGGAAACUUACGCUAAUACCGCAUACGACCUACGGGUGAAAGCAGGGGAUCUUCGGACCUUGCGCGAUUGAAUGAGCCGAUGUCGGAUUAGCUAGUUGGCGGGGUAAAGGCCCACCAAGGCGACGAUCCGUAGCUGGUCUGAGAGGAUGAUCAGCCACACUGGAACUGAGACACGGUCCAGACUCCUACGGGAGGCAGCAGUGGGGAAUAUUGGACAAUGGGCGCAAGCCUGAUCCAGCCAUACCGCGUGGGUGAAGAAGGCCUUCGGGUUGUAAAGCCCUUUUGUUGGGAAAGAAAAGCAGCAGGUUAAUACCCCGCUGUUCUGACGGUACCCAAAGAAUAAGCACCGGCUAACUUCGUA